rnacentral:rRNA from 1 species
CUUAAGUGGGGAAUAACGCAUCGAAAGUUGCGCUAAUACCGCAUACGUUCUACGGAAGAAAGUGGGGGAUCUUCGGACCUCAUGCUUUUGGAGCGGCCGAUGUCUGAUUAGCUAGUAGGUAGGGUAAAGGCCUACCUAGGCGACGAUCAGUAGCUGGUCUGAGAGGACGACCAGCCACACUGGAACUGAGACACGGUCCAGACUUCUACGGGAGGCAACAGUGGGGAAUUUUGGACAAUGGGCGCAAGCCUGAUCCAGCAAUGCCGCGUGAGUGAAGAAGGCCUUCGGGUUGUAAAGCUCUUUUGUCAGGGAAGAAACGGUUCCGGCUAAUAUCCGGGGCUAAUGACGGUACCUGAAGAAUGAGCACCGGCUAACUACGUGCCAGCAGCCGCGGUAAUACGUAGGGUGCAAGCGUUAAUCGGAAUUACUGGGCGUAAAGCGUGCGCAGGCGGUUUUGUAAGUCUGUCGUGAAAGCCCCGGGCUCAACCUGGGAAUUGCGAUGGAGACUGCAAGGCUUGAAUCUGGCAGAGGGGGGUAGAAUUCCACGUGUAGCAGUGAAAUGCGUAGAGAUGUGGAGGAACACCGAUGGCGAAGGCAGCCCCCUGGGUCAAGAUUGACGCUCAUGCACGAAAGCGUGGGGAGCAAACAGGAUUAGAUACCCUGGUAGUCCACGCCCUAAACGAUGUCUACUAGUUGUCGGGUUUUAAUUAACUUGGUAACGCAGCUAACGCGUGAAGUAGACCGCCUGGGGAGUACGGUCGCAAGAUUAAAACUCAAAGGAAUUGACGGGGACCCGCACAAGCGGUGGAUGAUGUGGAUUAAUUCGAUGCAACGCGAAAAACCUUACCUACCCUUGACAUGGAAGGAAUCCUGAAGAGAUUUGGGAGUGCCCGAAAGGGAACCUUCACACAGGUGCUGCAUGGCUGUCGUCAGCUCGUGUCGUGAGAUGUUGGGUUAAGUCCCGCAACGAGCGCAACCC